GAGGUUGUAGCUCAGUUGGAUAGAGCAUCAGAUUGCGGAUCUGACGGUCGCACGUUCGAAUCGUGACAGCCUCA
rnacentral:tRNA from 1 species